CAUUUUAAGCAGGAAUAUAAAAAUUUAUUAUUAAUUAAUUCAGCUUUCAAUGCUUAUUUUUUUUUAAUUUAUGUGAUAUUAUAAGCAACAAAACAUUGGUUUUUAUAAGAUUAAUUUGCAUUAUAUUACAGUAAUUGUUAUGAAAUAUAACUUUACUAUUGAGAGUUAAUUAUCAAUUGUGUUAUCAUCAUUAAUUUCAGUUCAUUCAUUGAUACCCUGCUUUUAUCAAGGAAAUGUUAUCACAAAAGAAUAAGUUGAUCUAGAACAGGAGUGUCCAACCUGAAGCCCAUGAGCCGCAUGCAGCCCAGAAUGGCUUUAAAUGCAGCCCAACAAGAAAUUUUAAACUAAUUUAAAUAAAUAAUUUACUAAUGUUUUUAAUACUGAGAGAUAGAGAAAACAUUCUUUAUCUUAGUCAAGCACUUUUGUACCUUACACAAUACAUAUUUUUUAAUAUUGUUUUGGGUAUAUUUCAAGUGUCUUUUGCCACAAAGGAAAGGAGAGAAUACUUGGCUCAUCAGUUCAUUUUAUUUACAUUUUCAAUAAUAGAAAGUGCAAUCUUGAAUUUAACCUAUGGA
rnacentral:lncRNA from 1 species